GACAGCCCCGUACACAAAAAUGCACAUGCUGUGAGCUCGAUGAGUAGGGCGGGACACGUGGUAUCCUGUCUGAAUAUGGGGGGACCAUCCUCCAAGGCUAAAUACUCCUGACUGACCGAUAGUGAACCAGUACCGUGAGGGAAAGGCGAAAAGAACCCCGGCGAGGGGAGUGAAAAAGAACCUGAAACCGUGUACGUACAAGCAGUGGGAGCCUCUUUAUGGGGUGACUGCGUACCUUUUGUAUAAUGGGUCAGCGACUUAUAUUCUGUAGCAAGGUUAACCGAAUAGGGGAGCCGAAGGGAAACCGAGUCUUAACUGGGCGUUAAGUUGCAGGGUAUAGACCCGAAACCCGGUGAUCUAGCCAUGGGCAGGUUGAAGGUUGGGUAACACUAACUGGAGGACCGAACCGACUAAUGUUGAAAAAUUAGCGGAUGACUUGUGGCUGGGGGUGAAAGGCCAAUCAAACCGGGAGAUAGCUGGUUCUCCCCGAAAGCUAUUUAGGUAGCGCCUCGUGAAUUCAUCUCCGGGGGUAGAGCACUGUUUCGGCAAGGGGGUCAUCCCGACUUACCAACCCGAUGCAAACUGCGAAUACCGGAGAAUGUUAUCACGGGAGACACACGGCGGG
rnacentral:rRNA from 1 species